CAAAGACCCAGCGGUGGGGAGCAAUCAAUGGGCUUACUGGCUACAGGCUUAGCACACAACCUGACCUAGAAGGAGCAUCAAGGAGGGAGGGUCAGCCCUGGGAUCAGGAGACCCCAAGGCAUAAGUCAGGAUGUGUGGGUACCUGUUUUGUCUCAAAGACACAACAGAGCUUCAGGCACUCACCAUCCCAAUUUUUAUCUCCCAGGAGGAGACAGAAUUCAGGCCCAAGCAGCAGGUUGGCCCUGGAGAGCUAGGGCGAAUAGCAAAGCUGUGAGGUCUCAUCUUCUAGACUUGAGCCCCCAGGUUCCGGCGCCAGAAGGCAGAGAGCGAAUUCAGGACUCUAAAAUACUCAGCCUCUGUAGAGCUCAGUUCAUGGAACGGAAGGCCCAGGAGCCUCCCUCACCACCAACGAUGGAGAACGGCACACGGUCCUGUGAAGAGCGCCCACCCGCGGCCCCGGUCGCGACUGUCACCGAGGGCGCCGCCAGAAUCU
rnacentral:lncRNA from 1 species